ensembl:lncRNA
GUGUUUUGCUCAGAGCCGCGGCUUCCGAUUUCACGUGCAAAGCAUGUGGCCGGUCUCGCCCCGGCCUGCCUGAGGAAAACAGCCCGAAAGCAUCAAAAGCAACAACAACAACAAAAACACCCCAAAAUUACCCCGCAUGCAAAAAAAUACCCACAAGAUGGGAAAGUCUGCAGAGCAGCGUUGCGGCAGGCAAAGCAGUACUGGAAAGCCUGCGAACGGCGCCGGGCAGCAAACCUCUCCGUCCGGGAGCGUUUCCACCUCUUUGCUGCAGAGACGCCGGUGCUCAGGGCYGGCUUGCAGGAGCUCUGCAAGCUGCAAAGAGAAAAACACGCACAAAAAGGGGGGGGGGAAAAAAAGACGAUAAAAAAGCCGACCGACGGACGUCACCUCUCUGCAGGUGCCCAGGGUUUUGCAAAUCCCAAAGCCGCCCUGGGACGCCUCCGCGCGUCGCCCGGGCUCGUGCUGCGGCUGGAGGGAAGGCGCCGGCGGCACUCCCGGCACUUUGGCUGCAGCCAGGAGCCGGCUCACGGGGCUGCAGGAGCCCGACACCCCCCCCCUUCCCUUCCUGUUGCCGACUUGCCUCAGCCCGGCUUUGCCACGGAUCCUCUGCCUCCGGAGCAGGCGCUGCAAUUUGUAUUUUGGGCGCCGGCACGAUUAGGCGCCCGGCCGGGGCCGCGGGAAACCAGCCCUCGCUUUGCUUUAGCCCGGGGUAAAGCAUCGCUAAACCACAUCAAAAAGCCGGGAACGUGCAGGCACGAUGCGGGAGGUGCAGCACAGCAGCACGGGAAUACCGGGAGAGACGGGCUCUGCCCCAAAAACAUGCGAUUAAAGAGGAGAAGGGAAGGGUCUGUCCCCAAAAAUGUGCAAUUAAAGAAGAGAAGGGAAGGGUCUGCCCCAAAAAACAUGCAAUUAAAGAGGAGAAGGGAAGGGUCUGCCCCAAAAAAUGUGCAAUUAAAGAGAUGUCCAGAGACCGGCCGCAUGGGAAAGGCUGGAAUAAAUCUGUGCUGUGCCUCAGUUGCCAGCUCAGCACCCUCCUGCAUCCCCCAAAACGCCUCUCUAAAGGCCAGGGGGGGUGAGAAGGACCAAAUUUGGGGACCAAAAGGGGACAGUGCCAAGUGGAUGCUCUGGAGAAGUGUCGGCAGCGUGGGMAAGCCAGAGCCCUGGGCAGCCGGGGCAUCUCUUGCUGCCUUCUGCUGGGACAUGCCACCUGGAAAACCCUUGCGAAAACAGGAUUUUGGGGGGAAAAAAACCCCGUGCUUCCACCCAGCCUGCCCAAAGCACCUCCACGGCGCCCCAGGCAAAAUCGGGUUUCCUCGCUGGGCAGCGGGUGCCAAGUUUCGCCCUCGGCUCUCCAGGAUACGGCCCCGGCGCUGCCCGUUUGUUCCUAAUCUCCCUCUGGCAAAGAAGCAAAGUCCAAGGUGGAUGAACGAGCAUAAUAGGUCCUUGUGCCGCCGGGGUGGUGGCAUCAACGAAAGGAGAGCCAUAAAAGAGAGAAAGGGGAAACACCAAAGCAGUCGGCCUGACAAGGGGCACAUUGUCAGGGAAGGUCAGCCCCGGAGCCGGGAAGGUUUCCCCGGAGCGGCGCGAGAGCGAGGAGGCUGCAAGGGGCUUCGGCAAAGACGAGCAGGGGAUUAA